GCCCGCCUAGCUCAAUCGGAUAGAGCGUCAGACUUUUAAAAGAGUCCGCCAGGCGGGAAUCUGAAGGCUGCGAGUUCGACCCUCGCGGUGGGCU